GACGAACGCUGGCGGCGUGCCUAAUACAUGCAAGUCGAGCGAAGUUUUUCUGGUGCUUGCACUAGAAAAACUUAGCGGCGAACGGGUGAGUAACACGUAAAGAACCUGCCUCAUAGACUGGGACAACUAUUGGAAACGAUAGCUAAUACCGGAUAACAGUAUUUCUCGCAUGAGAGAUAUUUAAAAGUUGGUUAUGCUAACACUAUGAGAUGGCUUUGCGGUGCAUUAGCUAGUUGGUGGGGUAAAGGCCUACCAAGGCGACGAUGCAUAGCCGACCUGAGAGGGUGAUCGGCCACACUGGGACUGAGACACGGCCCAGACUCCUACGGGAGGCAGCAGUAGGGAAUCUUCCGCAAUGGGCGAAAGCCUGACGGAGCAACGCCGCGUGAGUGAAGAAGGAUUUCGGUUCGUAAAGCUCUGUUGUUAGGGAAGAAUGGAUAUGUAGUAACUAUACAUGUAAGAGACGGUAC
rnacentral:rRNA from 1 species